UACGUAGGUGGCAAGCGUUAUCCGGAAUUAUUGGGCGUAAAGAGCGCGCAGGUGGUUAAUUAAGUCUGAUGUGAAAGCCCACGGCUUAACCGUGGAGGGUCAUUGGAAACUGGUUGACUUGAGUGCAGAAGAGGGAAGUGGAAUUCCAUGUGUAGCGGUGAAAUGCAUAGAGAUAUGGAGGAACACCAGUGGCGAAGGCGGCUUCCUGGUCUGCAACUGACACUGAGGCGCGAAAGCGUGGGGAGCAAACAGG
rnacentral:rRNA from 1 species